GGUAUGGGAUGAGCUUGCGUCCGAUUAGCUAGUUGGCGGGCAACGGCCCACCAAGGCGACGAUCGGUAGCCGGCCUGAGAGGGUGAUCGGCCACAUUGGGACUGAGAUACGGCCCAGACUCCUACGGGAGGCAGCAGUAGGGAAUAUUGCACAAUGGGGGAAACCCUGAUGCAGCAACGCCACGUGUGGGAAGAAGCAUUUCGGUGUGUAAACCACUGUCAUGAGGGAAUAAGGCCCGCCUUCGGACGGGAUUGAAUGUACCUUGAGAGGAAGCACCGGCAAACUUCGUGCCAGCAGCCGCGGUAAUACGAGGGGUGCAAGCGUUGUUCGGAAUUACUGGGCGUAAAGGGAGCGUAGGCGGAGAUUCAAGCGGAUUGUACAAUCCCGGGGCCCAACCCCGGCUCUGCAGUCCGAACUGGAUCUCUUGGAUAGUUCAGGGGCAGGC
rnacentral:rRNA from 1 species